UUUCUUGUUCCAGGGAGAUGUGAUCCUUCAGUGUGAGCACGUCUUUGAGACAGUCACUAAGCUCUGCAUGCUGGCCAAUAAGCAACACCUUGUUAAAGUCGUGCAGGGAAGCCUUCAGUUCCGCAUUGGCUCUGGGAAGGAAGGGACAAUGGUGUUCUCUCUUGGGCAGGAGUCUCAGGUCUUCAAAGCCAAAACUGGACAACUAACAGUGGUGUCAACCCAGGCAAAGUCUUGAUGAGGAACAGUCCCUGUUCCUGGUUGCUGUCUUGGCCAGGAGCAGAAAGGAGCCUGCAGGAUGAGACCAGCACUCGCACCUGCCCUGGAAUCUGUGAUGCCACAGGGCUGCUGUGAUUUGAGUUUGCUUGCAUCUUUUAGGCUCUUUUUUAUAGCUUAAAGUUAUUCAACUAUAGCUAAAUAAAUG
rnacentral:lncRNA from 1 species